AGCGGCGGAUGGGUGAGUAACACGUGGGGAACCUGCCCCUAAGUCUGGGAUACCAUUUGGAAACAGGUGCUAAUACCGGAUAAUAAAGCAGAUCGCAUGAUCAGCUUUUGAAAGGCGGCGUAAGCUGUCGCUAAGGGAUGGCCCCGCGGUGCAUUAGCUAGUUGGUAAGGUAACGGCUUACCAAGGCGACGAUGCAUAGCCGAGUUGAGAGACUGAUCGGCCACAUUGGGACUGAGACACGGCCCAAACUCCUACGGGAGGCAGCAGUAGGGAAUCUUCCACAAUGGACGCAAGUCUGAUGGAGCAACGCCGCGUGAGUGAAGAAGGUUUUCGGAUCGUAAAGCUCUGUUGUUGGUGAAGAAGGAUAGAGGUAGUAACUGGCCUUUAUUUGACGGUAAUCAACCAGAAAGUCACGGCUAACUACGUGCCAGCAGCCGCGGUAAUACGUAGGUGGCAAGCGUUGUCCGGAUUUAUUGGGCGUAAAGCGAGCGCUGGCGGAAAAAUAAGUCUAAUGUGAAAGCCCUCGGCUUAACCGAGGAACUGCAUCGGAAACUGUUUUUCUUGAGUGCAGAAGAGGAGAGUGGAACUCCAUGUGUAGCGGUGGAAUGCGUAGAUAUAUGGAAGAACACCAGUGGCGAAGGCGGCUCUCUGGUCUGCAACUGACGCUGAGGCUCGAAAGCAUGGGUAGCGAACAGGAUUAGAUACCCUGGUAGUCCAUGCCGUAAACGAUGAGUGCUAAGUGU
rnacentral:rRNA from 1 species